CUGUAACACAGGAGAUCCCCAGAGGAGCUCAUUACCUGGAAAGGGAACUUCACGGUGUUUUUUGCACAAACUCAGAUCAGCUAAUGAAAAGCGGAAGGAAGAGUCAGUCAGCCAAGAACAAGAAGACGGGAGACAGAGCACCUGCAGGAGACGGUCCCUCGCUGAAACAUCAAGUUGCUCAAAAGAAAGUAAGAAAUGCCUGGCUUACCUGGAAGAGGCAUGCCACCAGAGGAAAGCGAUCCCUCACAAACAAGCUCAUCUGACUGUGCCCAUGACUCAACUUCAAAGGCUGCCUCCCUCCAGUCAGUGAAGCGUGCGAUCACAGUACCUCGAAUUAUCCUGACUGAAUCUUCAGCUUCUGGUGAAGACAGCAGCUUGGUGCUUCGCGGGAUCCAUGACUUGGACUCAGAAGCCGGAGCCAGCGCCGGUGUCCUCCAUGCUUCAUAGGUUGUUUUAAACCUUUUUUUAUGUCUUUCCCCACCCUUCUGUUUUCCUAGGAAAAUGGCUUAAUAUCGUUGCCAUUUAUGUGUUUGUGUUGAUGGAAUCAGCUAAAGUUGAUACCAUAGGCAUAGUUAAAUAGGUUGUACCGAAGUUGUUUUCAAUAGAGUGGGAACAAAAGAAAGGCACUUAGGUUCAGGUUGUCUUUUAUUUACAAAUACUGACAUGAGAUUAAAAUUGUAAAACUUGGAAUAAAACAAUCGAUCAAAUAAAGUUAUGGGCUUACUGAAAUUUUUCAAUGUUUAGGCUAAGGAGAUGGCUCUGUGGGUAAAGUCUUUGUUGCUAUUCUGUCUGGACUCUACCCCCACAGUUCCUGGCAAUAGCCAGGUAUACUCCUCCCCACAGUUACCUAGCAACAGCCAGGUAGACCUGGUCCACUAUAAAAGGGGCUGCUUGCCUCCUAUUCUCCCUCUUGUCUCUCUUAAGCUCUUACUUUCUUGCCUCUUGCCCCCUGCUCCCCACCUCUCCAUCCCCUUCCCCCCACCUCCACUGUGGAGGCGGAGUCCAGACAGAAUACCAAUAGUCUUGCCUGUUCAAGUAUGAGGAUCUAAGUUCAAAUUUUCAGUACGCUUGUAAAAGCUGGGCACCAUGACAUACUCCUGGACCCUUCACACUAGGGAUUUGGAGACAGAUGGUGCUCACUGGCCAGCCAGCCAUCCCCAAAUAGGCAGAGUCCCCCAUGUCAAAGUGUAUACACACACAAACACACACACACACACACACACACACACACACACACACACUUCCUAUUGUUUACUUUAUGUGUAUUAUAUUAAAUAUGAUAGUCCACAGCAUUACAGUAACUAUGAUGGUGUUUUCACUCAUUAUAUUUCAUGGGGAAGAAUGAUGAAAAUGAUUGCAUAGAUUUUUUUUUUUUUACUUUAUUGUGUUGUGUUGCUAAGCCAAUUAUUUGCUUUAUGUACGAAUGCCUUGGUUCCUGAAGUUGUUUACUGUUCAUUGGAAUAGAGAAUGUUUUCAAUUUAAUAAAUAACUUCUUAUGUAUAUGUAUUUAUUUUGAGAAAGAGCAAAUGAUACCAAUUUAUUAUGUACCCCUUUUCUUCUGAACAUUAUUAAUCCCCUCACGGAGUAAUGAAUUUCUCUCAGGAUAAUAUUCUUCUCUCAAGUAAUCAAGUAACUGCUAUCCCUCUUAAAAAUAUUUUAGCCUGUCUUUAUUUUUUUUUCAAGUUUAUUUUUCUCAGUAAUUUCUUGUCAUUGUUAAGAAUGAUAGAGCUGGUUUAAAGAUGUCAGAUCGUGUGGUAUCAUCAGUCUUAGCCCUUUGCUCCUGGUCACAGGACAGCUGCAGUCAGUUCAGACAUAUCUACUUUUAGAAAAAGAGUCAGUCCCUUAACUUUGCAAUUUAGGAGAUGUAUAGGAACCUCUCCUUGGGAGGAUCUGUUACUUGAGAGCACACGUAUCACAUCUUCUAUUUGCAGAAACAUCUUACUUUUCAGAGGUGUCCUCUAAAACAUGCAUCUUAAAUGCGUUAUACACUAUUCACCAUGCUCCAAAUGAUGGUUAAAGAACUGAGACAAUAAAUAUAAAUGAAACAGA
ensembl:lincRNA 5730403I07Rik RIKEN cDNA 5730403I07 gene